rnacentral:sRNA from 1 species
GAAAGUAACAAUGAUAUCAAGGUGACAUCUUGUUCACUAGGACUGAUUUGGUGAAUUUUGUUAUCUAGGCAGAUGUCUCUUCUCUCACCACUCCAUGUGUGGCCGUGGCCCUCCCGUAGCAUGUCCUGUCGAAGGCCCUGUCCCUUCCAGACAGAGGAAGAGCAUUUCUCAGUUCAAACAUACGAGCAGCUGAGCUCCCCCGCCAGAACCUCCAAACAUGCUCUCAACAAGUUCUGUGAUGCCAGGAGAGUCGGGGAUACAUAAUGAGAUCUUGUCU